rnacentral:rRNA from 1 species
CCUACGGGGGGCAGCAGUGGGGAAUAUUGGGCAAUGGAGGCAACUCUGACCCAGCAACGCCGCGUGAAUGAUGAAGGUCUUCGGAUUGUAAAGUUCUUUUCUAAGGGAAGAAGAAAGUGACGGUACCUUAGGAAUAAGCCUCGGCUAAAUAGGUGCCAGCAGCCGAGGUAAUACGGAGGAGGCAAGCGCUAUCCGGAUUUACUGGGUGUAAAGGGAGCGUAGACGGCGGUGCAAGCUAGAUGGUAAUGCCCGGGGCGCAACCCCGGGACUGCCUUUGGAACUGUGCUGCUAGAGUGUCGGAGAGGCAGGCGGAAUUCCUGGGGUAGCGGUGAAAUGCGUAGAUAUUAGGAGGAACACCAGUGGCGAAGGCGGCCUGCUGGACGAUGACUGACGUUGAGGCUCGAAAGCGUGGGGAGCAAACAGGAUUAGAUACCCGAGUAGUC